UUUCCGUGGGUGAACCUGCGGAAGGAUCAUUAUUGUAUAACCGAGGUGCGAGGGCUGUCGCUGACCCGAAAGGUCGUGCACGCCCGUGUGCCCUCACACACAUCCAUCUCACCCCUAUGUGCACCACCGCGUGGGUCCCCCUUUGGCUUGUUCGGAGGGGGGCUUACGUUUUCACACAAACUUUGUAUGCAGUGUAGAAUGUAUUUUUUGUUUUUGCGAUCACGCAAUCAAUACAACUUUCAACAACGGAUCUCUUGGCUCUC
rnacentral:misc_RNA from 1 species